rnacentral:snoRNA from 1 species
GCUGCCCUCAGGAUGUUGGGGCAGAGAUGAAGCAGUUAUUUCUACACUCAGUGCUCAGAAUAGUGGGCACUAAGGAUGGUUUAUAGCCAGACU